UGGGGAAUAUUGCACAAUGGGCGCAAGCCUGAUGCAGCCAUGCCGCGUGUGUGAAGAAGGCCUUCGGGUUUAAAGCACUUUCAGCGGGGAGGAAGGCGAUAAGGUUAAUAACCUUGUCGAUUGACGUUACCCGCAGAAGAAGCACCGGCUAACUCCGUGCCAGCAGCCGCGGUAAUACGGAGGGUGCAAGCGUUAAUCGGAAUUACUGGGCGUAAAGCGCACGCAGGCGGUCUGUCAAGUCGGAUGUGAAAUCCCCGGGCUCAACCUGGGAACUGCAUUCGAAACUGGCAGGCUAGAGUCUUGUAGAGGGGGGUAGAAUUCCAGGUGUAGCGGUGAAAUGCGUAGAGAUCUGGAGGAAUACCGGUGGCGAAGGCGGCCCCCUGGACAAAGACUGACGCUCAGGUGCGAAAGCGUGGGGAGCAAACAGG
rnacentral:rRNA from 1 species